CUCACCACCCAGAGUACCACAGUUCAGUUUGACUCGGACAGAGUAGGAGAUCACAAUACCCAAGGCCUCAGCUGGGCACUUGCCCUCGGCGACCAAAGUGGAGGAUGCCAGAUUUACGUCGUCGUCCUGUAAGAAAAACGGGAAAGUGGAAGAUCGAUCGUCGUGUGAACAAUGAACCGAAGCAGCACGAUUUCGUCGCGGGACUUCUGACUGUUGGAAGAAGUUGUGUUGAAGGUUUGCUGUAAAUCCGAACAACUGCUGUACUUGUCGCGUACUUUGAGAUGUCCGUCGAGAGCAAUGCCGCGCCGGUCCUUGUUGCUGCUGGCCAACGG